GGUGAAAAGCACCCCGGAAGGGGAGUGAAAUAGAACCUGAAACCGUGUGCUUACAAGUAGUCAGAGCCCGUUAAUGGGUGAUGGCGUGCCUUUUGUAGAAUGAACCGGCGAGUUACGAUUUGAUGCAAGGUUAAGCAGUAAAUGUGGAGCCGUAGCGAAAGCGAGUCUGAAUAGGGCGUUUAGUAUUUGGUCGUAGACCCGAAACCAGGUGAUCUACCCUUGGUCAGGUUGAAGUUCAGGUAACACUGAAUGGAGGACCGAACCGACUUACGUUGAAAAGUGAGCGGAUGAACUGAGGGUAGCGGAGAAAUUCCAAUCGAACCUGGAGAUAGCUGGUUCUCUCCGAAAUAGCUUUAGGGCUAGCCUCAAGUGAUGAUUAUUGGAGGUAGAGCACUGUUUGGACGAGGGGCCCCUCUCGGGUUACCGAAUUCAGACAAACUCCGAAUGCCAAUUAAUUUAACUUGGGAGUCAGAACAUGGGUGAUAAGGUCCGUGUUCGAAAGGGAAACAGCCCAGACCACCAGCUAAGGUCCCAAAAUAUAUGUUAAGUGGAAAAGGAUGUGGCGUUGCCCAGACAACUAGGAUGUUGGCUUAGAAGCAGCCAUCAUUUAAAGAGUGCGUAAUAGCUCACUAGUCGAGUGACACUGCGCCGAAAAUGUACCGGGGCUAAACAUAUUACCGAAGCUGUGGAUUGUCCUUUGGACAAUGGUAGGAGAGCGUUCUAAGGGCGUUGAAGCAUGAUCGUAAGGACAUGUGGAGCGCUUAGAAGUGAGAAUGCCGGUGUGAGUAGCGAAAGACGGGUGAGAAUCCCGUCCACCGAUUGACUAAGGUUUCCAGAGGAAGGCUCGUCCGCUCUGGGUUAGUCGGGUCCUAAGCUGAGGCCGACAGGCGUAGGCGAUGGAUAACAGGUUGAUAUUCCUGUACCACCUAUAAUCGUUUUAAUCGAUGGGGGGACGCAGUAGGAUAGGCGAAGCGUGCGAUUGGAUUGCACGUCUAAGCAGUAAGGCUGAGUAUUAGGCAAAUCCGGUACUCAUUAAGGCUGAGCUGUGAUGGGGAGAAGACAUUGUGUCUUCGAGUCGUUGAUUUCACACUGCCGAGAAAAGCCUCUAGAUAGAAAAUAGGUGCCCGUACCGCAAACCGACACAGGUAGUCAAGAUGAGAAUUCUAAGGUGAGCGAGCGAACUCUCGUUAAGGAACUCGGCAAAAUGACC
rnacentral:rRNA from 1 species